rnacentral:lncRNA from 1 species
CAAACCAAGACCAAAGAAGAACAAAAGAAGAAAAGGAAGAGAACAAACCCUAGGUGGAAAAAUUCAAGGGAAAAGUGUGAAAAUUCAAGGAAACAAGUGAAAAAAAGGUAAAAUUUUUCAAUUAAACUUGAGAUCUUUCUUUCCCAUGCAUUUUUCCUUAUUUUUCAUGGUUAAAUUUCAUGUUUUCAUGGUGAAUUCAUGGCUAGCCAAAUGGGUAUGGAGAGAGAAAUGAUGUUGGAAUUGUUUGAUUUUGAGUUAUGUUAGUGAUUAAGGUUAGUUUAGCAUAUUUAGAAGCAAAACAACAAGAAAAGAAUCCAUUUUUCCCAUAAAUCUUCAUUGGGCGAAUCUUCCUUGAUGUGUGUGGGUGAUCGAUUGUUAUUAUUUCAAGAGAAAUGGCUCAGAAAAUGAUGAAUAAUGGUGAGAAAAUUAAGUAAGAAAAAUCACGGUGUUAAUGCACCAUUAUUGACCAAAAAUUUAAAGAAGAAAAGUGAAUAUGGUUUUGCCAAAUUUUAGGUUAUUUGACUUGUGUUUGGUGAAUUAAGGUAUUGGAAAAGAAAUGGAGCAAUUUGGAGCUAAAUAGGACGCGUUGGCCAAUUAAUCGGGUGCUAAGACGAAUUAGGCCAAUACAGGGGAUUAGAUGGUUACCAGUGCAUUUUGCAUUCCAUAUCAUGAAUUAGUAGUCUAAAUUAGUUUAAUUUCGAUUUAGUACCAAAGUAGUAAGUUUCUCGAUUUUGUACUAUGUCAAGGUAGUGAGUCCUCCGAUAAAGGCAAGGAAAUUGCAUCAGAGGACCAGUAGUCAGAGUACUUCGAAAAUUCACACUCUAGACAUUGUGAGUAACCUUACCAUUAUUUUCAUUAUCUAAAGUACGUUUUUAUUCGGUUUUGGUGAAAUUUUAUGAAAAUGAGUUUUAAUGGUAAAUCUUUAUGUUUAUAAACAAAAUGAGUUUAAACGAAAUGAUUUUAUAAAUUGUCUUGAAAUCGAAUGACAGUUUUGAAAAUAGAGUAAUUGGAGACCACUAAUAUGUUGUAAAUUUAUGAUUUGAAUUGAUGGCUUAUGUUAAUGUGUUGGCAUGACUGACUGGGUUGUAUUUUUGUGAACUGUAUGAAUUGUUCUAUUUUACACUUGCAGGCUGGGUAGUAUUAUAUUAGUCAUGUCAUGCUGUCAAAAUUUUAUUGUAUGGUGGGUUUAGCUUGCUGCAGUGGGCGAGUUUCUAUGGAGCAGCCUAUUAGAGGGGCACAGUAAACCCCUUUAUAUUUUACCUCGGUUGGAGAGGCGAGUAGGGUAACUCCCAAGGUAUAACUUUUAGAGUUCACUUCACGCCAAACCACCACGUGAAGGGGAACUCGGCCAAUGCUAAGGAACGACUAUAUUUUUAAAAUAAAAACAUGAUUUAUGCGUACAUAACUUUUAAUAGCCUUGGCGAACUCAGUUGGGAUAGCCCUCAACCAAGGUAUCCCUGAUAACUAAGUAUGAUAAUGAUUUUGGCAUUGGCCAAGUUUUAAGAUACUCAUAAGCCAUGCUAAUGUUUUUAAAUGAAAUGAAUAUUUAUGUUAUGAAAAACAUAUUUGGAUGAAAUGUUUUAUUAGUCUCCUUUUACUCGACUUUAGAUAUUUUGAGUGAUGAAUGUUUACUCACUGAGAUUUUAUAAUCUCACCACCCUCUUUUCCACCCAUUUCAAGUUUAGAGUAGGCUGUAUAUAAUUGAUUCCAUUGAGGGCUUCCCUUGGAUUUGCGUCCUCCAGACUGUAGGUUUAUAGUUUUCCUUACUUCUAGUUAUUCGUGGGCUCACUUGAUAUUGUAAAUUAUAUUAAUUUAAAUACUCUGGUUUACUGUGUCACAGUGUGAAUGAAUAAAUUUAUUUGGCUUUUACAUUACAAAAAUUAUUUACGUAUAACUCUAAAAAUAUUGUUUUAUAAGAAAAUAGAAUAUUUUACUUAAUAUUUCUUUUAUUUUUCUAUUAUAUCCAAAUAAGCAUAAUUUCAUUUUAAAUAAAGAUUUUAGACUUUUAAACUCAUUUUGAUUAUGAAUUAUGUGUUUUGUACUUGUAUAUUACAUUUUAGCCAGUUUCAAAAUUUUGAAAAAAAUGACCAAAAUACCCCUGUGAGACGAAAAUUAUUAUUUUAUUUGUUUUAAGUUAAAAACAGUUUAAAAUCUUUUAUAACGUGGUAUUUGGCAACAG